AUGUAUGCUUAGAAACAAGCUUGAGGCCAUUUCAGUCAUUUCUCAUCAGCUAUAUACGUGCCCUUUGGUGCUCUUCCCAGAUAUACGUGUAGGUUUUCUGCUACUCCAAAUGUAUGCUUUUCUUCUUUUUCAACAUAAACAUAUUCCUUGGCUAAGCACACACAAGAAAAGGCAUAGAGAAACGAUCCAUCACAAGAUCGAAAUCAGUUUUUACUCUGGGUUGUGGUAGCCGUCUCCUCUGCAUCAUCCUUUCUAGUGAUUCGUUGUUGUUGUUUUCUACCUCUGUUAUUCAGUGGCACUUGAACCGAAAGGAAAUAAAUGCGUGAAUAUGUCGAGUAAAAAUCAUAAAAAUGAAAGUUGUGAAAAAAUAUAUGCUGACAAGAAGGCUAGGCGACGCGAAUUAUACAAGAUGAUGCAAGACGAUAAAAAGGAGGCUCUCCUAGUGCGAGCACGAGCGCGAGCAAGUAAGGACGGAACAAGUGGUCGACAACUUCCUGCUUGCUUGCUAAUUAAUAGCUCUGUUAUCGCAUCACCCUCUAUGAGUGCUAAUAUUUCAAGCGAGCAAUAUCUUCCUUUUGUGGGAUAUUCAAUAUAUGAAGCAGGUUAGACAGCUAGACUAUGACUUCUUGAUGGUAUACACAAGUAUAAAUACGUAUAUGCAUUUAUAACUAUCAAAAUUAUAUACUUAUACUUGUUAUUGUUGCAUCCCAGGAUCUACAUCUAAUACAAAUCAUAAACAAUAUACUGAAGAGUUAAUAACAAUUCAACCAUCAAUUGAUUAUGUUAUGUUAAAAACUGUU